UAGGGAAUCUUCCGCAAUGGACGAAAGUCUGACGGAGCAACGCCGCGUGAGUGAAGAAGGAUUUCGGUUCGUAAAACUCUGUUGUUAGGGAAGAAAAAAUGUAUAGUAACUAUAUACAAAAGAGACGGUACCUAACCAGAAAGCCACGGCUAACUACGUGCCAGCAGCCGCGGUAAUACGUAGGUGGCAAGCGUUGUCCGGAAUUAUUGGGCGUAAAGCGCGCGCAGGUGGUUUAGAAAGUCUGAUGUGAAAGCCCACGGCUCAACCAUGGAGGGUCAUUGGAAACUAAUAAACUUGAGUGCAGGAGAGAAAAGUGGAAUUCCUAGUGUAGCGGUGAAAUGCGUAGAGAUUAGGAGGAACACCGGUGGCGAAAGCGGCUUUUUGGCCUGCAACUGACACUGAGGCGCGAAAGCGUGGGGAGCAAACAGG
rnacentral:rRNA from 1 species